CCCUUGUAAUAAGGAUUACAAAUGUACAGUGACAGUUGUCCGAUAUGAAGAAAAUGCUCAAUGAAAAAUUGGCUAAAUAUUAAUCAGAAAACAAGCAAAAUGGGUGGAAUAUAUUUCUAUAAAUUAUUUCUUCGGAUUAGUCUGACACCGCUAUUCAGUCGCAAUGUACGCCUCUGAAUACUCCUAAGUCGGUUCGCAGUAAUCGCAGUGUCAGUUCUGGAGAUGAAAAUUCAGACUUACGUUAAUAUCUCACAACGUUUUAUUUGAAAUACCUACGUUUAUCGGUAAACAAUGACAACAAUUCAAACUUUUGCAGAUCAAUAGUCCUUCCUUUCCACAGACCUAUUGCGUACAAAAAACAAAUGUAUCCACAAAAAUAUAGACACGCCUUGCCAGCCAGGCAAGGCUCCCUGAGAAAGAAGAAUGAACAAAAGGACCGUUUUAACGGUUACGAGUCCAAAACUGAUUUGAAGACCGUAAGCCUCAAAACGAUGCGUGAUCAGGUGACUCAAACUGAUGAAGAUGAAUCGAUUACAGUGCAGUAUGUGACAAUAAAAUCUUUACGCAAACAGCUAAAGGAAGUUCACCUCCUUCUGGGGCUGAAAAACUAGAUCCUGAUGUUGCUACCGAUGUGAUAAAAAUAAAAGAGCUCAAUCAGCAGAAAACUGCCCUAAUAAAAAAUCAUAGAAGAAACCAUAAGCGCAGCUCGAGUUCUUGUAUUACGGUAAUUCAUUCAAUAUUUCAAUCGUUUAUUUGAUAUCUAUACUUGAUUCUUUUAGGGAAUUUUAGGUCUAUUGUACUCAGAAUCACGAGUACUUUCAAUCUCACUGGGAGACAACAAGUGUCCCAGAAUUUCCAUAAAUUUUUGUUACUCCAUAAAACAUGUACGGAAAAUGGUAACAAAAUAAGAAAAAAAUGAAAAAAUCGUAUGGCACAAGUUUUUUAAUCACUAGUAUUGAAAAAGCUAGUAAUUCUAAGUAGAAAAGCAUUUUUUUUAAAUUAUCACACUUCAUAAAAGUGGCAAAAAAAAGAAAGGCUCUUUAAUAACUUUUUUCCUUACUUGUAGGCUAAUACUCCAAACUCGGACAUUCAAUGCAUCUGUAAUGCAUCUGAUGAUGAGUGGAAGCCUGAGGAUUACAGGCCAAGCAAGCAAAAUAUUAAUGACAUGAAGAUACCUAAGGGAAAUGGGAUGGUAAUAUUUUUUUAUAUCUAACGUACCAUUGAUAAAUUCAUUAAUUUAAAUAAUUUACAAUGUGUCCAUGUUUUUUGGUAGCUGGCUGUUCAUGCGUCUGUUAGUCAAUUAUGUAGAAUAUUUAUAGUUACUGACUAUUUGCAUUUUUUAAAUUCAGGUGCCGAUUGGAGAGAGAUACGCAAUAGUGCCAGCCAGGGUCCUUAAGCAAAUUGAUUGGAGAUUAAGGAAACUGUUGACUUCGGUGUUUACACGCCGGUAACAUUUUUUUCUGUAAUUAUACUAUAAGUAUAAAAUAUUAUUUUGAUAUUACUUGUUUUUGUGUAUUUUAUGUUGUAUUAAUUUUAUAUAUUUUUGCAGAGAGUUAGCGACUCAUUCUUUGACCGUGAAAUCUUCUCCUGCCUUUCCGGGAAAACCUGCGAAGAAACGUCUCGAUCCUGGGGGCCGAUUUUUGAGUCUCACUGUCACUAAAAUACCAGUUGAAAACGGUAAUUGCCUAUUAUUUUCAGUGACAAUUUUCUGAAUUCGAACGUCGUGAGACUCAAAAAUCGACCCCCUGAGCGCGUGAAUGACAUCGUGCAACUUGUUGAAAAAUCAAAAGUCAAGGCAAGCUUGGUGCGGUAAGACUUACUCAAAUAUUUAUACUAAUAACACGAAAAAUAUAAUAUUACAUAUUUUAUUGUCUUCGGUUACCGCGAUAGUUACUCAUGAAAUAAAACUACCCGUUGACCACGAACGCUGUAAAGAGUUCGAAACGUCGGGAUGUAUUUUAAAUUCAUUAUACGCGAUUUAAUCCGUUUCCAUAGUUUUAUUUCAUGAUUACAUAUUUUAUUUGAAAAAAAUAGGUAAUUAAGGAUGUUUUUUAUUUUAUUUUUAGAACCAGUAUAACUAGGAAAUGUGCUGAUGAGCGCAAAAUGUACCGAAGUCGACAACAGAAUAAAAAGAAACGCUUUUCGAACCAAGAAAACUUUCCUCCAUCGCCGCAUAAUGAUUAAUAGUUUAUUAAAUGAAACUUUCCCUUGUUUAGAUAACAUAAACAUAACAUAAAACCUACUUAACCCUUCUAGUAUUUAAGUUAAGCAAAGUUAACAAAGCAUGAAUUUAACUAAAAGUUUUAUAUUUUUAAUGAACUCAGAAUAUAAGUAUAAACUAACUACUCGCAGAAUACUGGAGAAGACUUUCAUUGAAAUUUUGUUAGACACAUGUAAUGCAAUAAGUAUGAAAAUUGUAUUUCAGAAUUAGUAUUGAUUGAAGGUAACCUAAGGUUCAACAUCGUACCUACUAACAGCAAUACUCUGUCUUGGCUAACCAUCGCUAUACGUUAUGCCCUUGUAAUAAGGAUUACAAAUGUACAGUGACAGUUGUCCGAUAUGACGAAAAUGCUCAAUGAACAAUUGGCUAAAUAGUAAUCAGAAAACAAGCAAAAAGGGUGGAACAUAUUUCUAUAAGUUAUUUCUUCGGAUUAGUCUGACACCGCUAUUCAGUCGCAAUGUACGCCUCUGAAUACUCCUAAGUCGGUUCGCAGUAAUCGCAGUGUCAGUUCUGGAGAUGAAAAUUCAGACUUACGUUAAUAUCUCACAAAGUUUUAUUUGAAAUACCUACGUUUAUCGGUAAACAAUAACAACGAUUCGAACUUUUGCAGAUCAAUAGUCCUUUCCACAGACCUAUUGCGUACAAAAAACAAAUGUAUCCACAAAAAUAUAGACACGCCUUGCCAGCCAGGCAAGGCUCCCUGAGAAAGAAGAAUGAACAAAAGGACCGUUCUAACGGUUACGAGUCCAAAACUGAUUUGAAGACCGUAAGCCUCAAAACGACGCGUGAUCAGGUGACUCAAACUGAUGAAGAUGAAUUGAUUUCAGUGCAGUAUGAGACAAUAAAAUCUUUACGCAAACAGCUAAAGGAAGUUCACCUCCUUCUGGGGCUGAAAAACUAGAUCCUGAUGUUGCUACCGAUGUGAUAAAAAUAAAAGAGCUCAAUCAGCAGAAAACUGCCCUAAUAAAAAAUCAUAGAAGAAACCAUAAGCGCAGCUCGAGUUCUUGUAUUACGGCUAAUACUCCAAACUCGGACAUGCAAUGCAUCUGUAAUGCAUCUGAUGAUGAGUGGAAGCCUGAGGAUUACAGGCCAAGCAAGCAAAAUAUUAAUGACAUGAAGAUACCUAAGGGAAAUGGGCUGGUAAUAUUUUUUUAUAUCUAACGUACCAUUGAUAAAUUCACUAAUUUAAAUAAUUUACAAUGUGUCCAUGUUUUUUGGUAGCUGGCUGUUCAUGAGUCUGUUAGUCAAUUAUGUAAAAUAUUUAUACUUACUGACUAUUUGGAUUUUUUAAAUUCAGGUGCCGAUUGGAGAGAGAUACGCAAUAGUGCCAGCCAGGGUCCUUAAGCAAUUGAUUGGAGAUUAAGAAAACGGUUGACUUCGGUGUUUACACGCCGAGAGUUAGCGACUCAUUCUUUGACCGUGAAAUCUUCUCCUGCCUUUCCGGGAAAACCUGCGAAGAAACGUCUCGAUCCUGGGGGCCGAUUUUUGAGUCUCACUGUCACUAAAAUACCAGUUGAAAACGGUAAAUUGCCUAUUAUUUUCAGUGACAAUUUUCUGAAUUCGAACGUCGUGAGACUCAAAAAUCGGCCCCCUGAGCGCGUGAAUGACAUCGUGCAACUUGUUGAAAAAUCAAAAGUCAAGGCAAGCUUGGUGCGGUAAGACUUACUCAAAUAUUUAUACUAAUAACACGAAAAAUAUAAUAUUACAUAUUUUAUUUGAAAAAAAUAGGUAAUUAAAGAUGUUUUUUAUUUUAUUUUUAGAACCAGUAUAACUCCGAAAUGUGCUGAUGAGAGCAAAAUGUACCGAAGUCGACAACAGAAUAAAAAGACACGCUUUUCGAACCAAGAAAACUUUCCUCCAUCGCCGCAUAAUGAUUAAUAGUUUAUUAAAUGAAACUUCCUCUUGUUUGGAUAACAUAAACAUAACAUAAAACCUACAUAACCCUUCUAGUAUUUAUGUUAAGCAAAGUUAACAAAGCAUGAAUUUAACUAAAAGUUUUAUAUUUUUAAUGAACUCAGAAUAUAAGUAUAAACUAACUACUCGGAGAAGACUGGAGAAGACUUUCAUUGAAAUUUUGUUAGACACAUGUAAUGCAAUA
rnacentral:lncRNA from 1 species